rnacentral:tRNA from 1 species
GUUGUGAGGCUCAGUGGUAGAGCAUUCACCUAGCACAUGAGAGGCCCUGAGUUUGAUCCUCAGCACCACA